AUUGAACGCUGGCGGCAUGCCUUACACAUGCAAGUCGAACGGUAACGCGGGGCAACCUGGCGACGAGUGGCGAACGGGUGAGUAAUGCAUCGGAACGUGCCCAGUUGUGGGGGAUAACUGCUCGAAAGAGCAGCUAAUACCGCAUACGACCUGAGGGUGAAAGCGGGGGAUCGCAAGACCUCGCGCAAUUGGAGCGGCCGAUGUCGGAUUAGCUAGUUGGUGGGGUAAAGGCCCACCAAGGCGACGAUCCGUAGCUGGUCUGAGAGGACGACCAGCCACACUGGGACUGAGGCACGGCCCAGACUCCUACGGGAGGCAGCAGUGGGGAAUUUUGGACAAUGGACGCAAGUCUGAUCCAGCCAUGCCGCGUGCGGGAAGAAGGCCUUCGGGUUGUAAACCGCUUUGGUCAGGGAAGAAAUCUUCUGGGUUAAUACCUCGGGAGGACGACGGUACCUGAAGAAUAAGCACCGGCUAACUACGUGCCAGCCGCCGCCGCUGUAA
rnacentral:rRNA from 1 species